UACGGGGGGGGCAAGCGUUGUUCGGAAUUACUGGGCGUAAAGGGCUCGUAGGCGGCCAACUAAGUCAGACGUGAAAUCCCUCGGCUUAACCGGGGAACUGCAUCUGAUACUGGAUGGCUUGGGUUCGGGAGAGGGAUGCGGAAUUCCAGGUGUAGCGGUGAAAUGCGUAGAUAUCUGGAGGAACACCGGUGGCGAAGGCGGCAUCCUGGACCGACACUGACGCUGAGGAGCGAAAGCCAGGGGAGCAAACGGG
rnacentral:rRNA from 1 species